rnacentral:misc_RNA from 1 species
UUUUGAAUCCGCCAUAUUAAACGCUUCCAAUUUAUUUAAAAGUUCAAAUUCAUUGAACUGAUCAAAACUUCUAGAUACACCAAUUUUAGAAAAGGGAAACUCAAAAACAUUUUAAAAACUGUCCUUGUUAUGGAAAGCCAAGCACCUACAAAAUUUGCAAACAAUCUGACAAGUAGAAGUUAUAGUUUAAAUAGAAUUCUUAGAUUUGUUAUAUACAUACAUACAAACAUUGCUACAUAAAGGUAAAGAAGUGAAGCUAAUAUAAAAAAUGUGUAAAAACGUUAAUAAUUAAGAAACACUGUCAUAUAAACACAUUCUAUUCCAGUCCUAUAAAAAAAGUUCUUAUUUUAUGACUUAAAAUACUUCUUAUGAAUACUCCUCGUAUAAAAAUAAUCAGCGCGCCUCAGAAUUUGCUUUCAUCGAUAUUUACGAUAAACCCUGGUAAACGCUCGUACGCAGCAAACAGCGGGAUUCAAGGUCAAUUUUGCUUUAACACGGGCGGUAUAGGAAGUGGUCUGACUUGUUGUAAUCUAUAGACGGUGGUAAAGCUACGGCAAAUUAAAUAAUUUUGGGCCGGGCUCCAAACCAAUAGAAUCUUCUCUAGCAAAACGUGCGUGAUAUUGUUCGUUUUGAUUAUUCAUCGGGCGUUCGCGGUUCCGUAUAGAUCUUUUAUUGUAUUUGGCUGGCGUUUUCGGCUUUGUUGGUGUUUUUUAUUUUUAUUGAAUAUUAAAAACAAUGAAUAAAAUUAAAUUUUUAAAAGCGAAUCCAUUUUCCACUUUAUCAUUGGAACAAAAAGUAGAAAUAAAGGAGUUAGGGCGACCGUUGCCCGAUUUAAAUAUAGAAAAAACUCAAGGUGGACAAAAAGUGCGUUCCCGUAAAUUUAAUAGGAAUAUUUAUGCGAAAAAUAUUUGGGUGUGCGGGUGUGAUACGUCUAAUAAGCUAUUUUGCUUUAUGUGUGUUUUAUUUGGAGGAGAGGAAUCCUGGUCUCGAAGAGGAACAGAUGAUCUUGUUCACGUAUGGGAGAAAAUGAAAACACAUGAAAAAUCCAAGGUACACAUGAACAAUAUUUUCAAUUUUUCUAUGCUUGGUAAAUUUGAUAUAAAAACUCAGUUAAACUCGGCAUACCGGAGCCAACUUAUUGAAAAAAAUAAACAAAUUGAAAAAAAUAGAUAUGUGUUAAAUCAAAUUAUAAAUUGCAUUCGUUUUUGUGGUGCAUUUGAGUUGGCUCUCAGAGGCCACAAUGAAAUAGAGACAUCCGAAAAUAAAGGAAUAUUUCGGGAAUUAAUUAAUUUUAGCUCAGAAUUAGACAAAACGCUUAAGGAUCAUAUUCAAAAAUCAACAGUUUUUAAAGGGACAUCCAAAAUAAUACAAAAUGAGCUUCUAGAGUGUAUGUUAGAUGUAUAUCAUGAAGAGGUGACAAAAGAAAUAGGGAACUCUCCAUUUGUGGCUGUUAUCGCCGACGAAACCACUGACGUUGCUUGUGAGUUUCAACUCGUAAUUGUUUUUAGAUACUUGCAUGCUGGUAAGCCUGUUGAAAGAUUUUGGAAUUUUUACAAUCCAAAAGAUCAUGACGCUGAAUCAAUCUCCCAGUGCAUACUUCAAGUUUUGGACCCUUUACUUAAAGAUCACCCCAAUAAAUUAAUUGCGCAAAGUUAUGAUGGAGCAUCGGUUAUGAGUGGAUGUUUGAAUAAAGUACAAGCAAAAAUUAAAGUAAAAUACCCUUUGGCUAAUUAUAUUCACUGCUAUGCACAUCAAGUAAAUUUAAUAAUGGCCAGUGCGACUUCCAUUAAUUCCGAGACUCGAAUUUUUUUUGCAAACUUGGCUGGGUUAUGUUCCUUUUUUUCUGUUUCUCCUCAAAGAACCAAAAUAUUGGAUGAAGUUAUUGAGAAAAGAUUACCGCGCUCAUCUCAAACUCGCUGGAAUUUCCAAUCAAGAGGAAUAAAUACUGUUUAUGAAAAUAGACAAGAUUUAAUUACUGUAAUGGAAAUUAUCGAAACAACAUCACGCGAUAACACGUCAGUUAAUCAAGCCAGUGGAAAUAAGUUGAAAUUGCAAAGUAAAAAUUUUGUUUUCUGGCUAUCAAUUUUCUAUAAAAUUAUGCCUCAUGUAGAAGUAAUUUUUAAUCAGUUACAAAAAGAAUGUACGGAUUCUGUAAAAAUAAAACAAGGCUUACACAACUUUGAAAGAGCAAUACAACUUAUUAGGGAUAAUAUGGACCAAAUUAUUCAGGAAAUUGAAAUAAAUACAACAUCACAAGGUGAAGGAGAACCACAAUCAAAGAGAUUGCGUACCUCUGUAGUAGGAAAUACUAAGAAGCAAACAGCUUUGGAAAUCUGUGAUGCAAUUUUGAUGCAAAUAAAAUUAAGAUUUAAUUUCACUGGACACUUAGUGGCUACAAAUUUAUUUGCCCAUGAACAAUUUUUCGUGUAUAGAGAAUGUUUUCCAGAAAAGUACCUAGAAGAAACAUGUAGAGAAUUUUCUUUUUUAAAUAAAAAUAGGCUUAAAACAGAAUUGCAAGUUUUAUAUGAAAGAGAGGAACUCAACUCAAUUUCAGGAUCUGGAGCUGUGCCACUCUUGGUGUUAUUAAACGAAGACUGCUUAAAAUGUACCUUUGAGGAGACCAUACAAUUAUUAAGUGCCCUGGCAACCAUGCCUAUGACGACAUCGGAAGCAGAAAGGUGUUUUUCAAUGUUAAAAAGAAUUAAAACUUUUCUUAGGAACACAAUGAAAGAGGAAAGACUCGGUGCGCUAGGUAUGUUAUCCGCAGAGAAGCAAUUUGUUAAUUCAAUUACAGACUUUAAUAAUAAAGUAAUCGACAAAUUUGCUAACAAAAAAGAACGAAGAAUGGACUUUAUAUAUCGUGUACUUUAAGUAAAACAAUUCAGUUUAAUUGACUAUUAUAUUAUAUACUUUUUUUUGAGUUACUUAUUUUUUUGAGUUAUUAAAAACAAUAAAAUUACUUACUUGUGUACCUUACUGUAAAUAUGGAAAACUGUAUGUUGCCUGUGACCUGAAGUAUUGACAUUUCCACGUAGUUUUGUUACACAACAAAUGCGUAUCCCACGUAAAAGCAGAAUGCGGCUUAGGUGAGCACGCGGUCCAUAUUUUACCCCCCACCGCCAUUUGCCCCAUCGUUCUGGAUAGGCAGCGAUCAGUACAAAAAAGAGGGUCCAGAUAUGGA